AGCACAGCAGGACUCCCAGUCAGAGAGGCCUCUCCCUACAGGUCCCUCUGAGUUUACACAAGAACUCACGAAGUGGACUAGCUGAGGGCUGAAAAAGGCCCGCUAAGCCCCUCACCAUUUGCAAUUUCCAAGUGUGGGGGGAGAUACCACCGACCGCUGGUUGGUGCUGUUUCCUCUCAUUGCAUAAUACUACACCGUUCCCGGUGUGUAGUGGCUGUUCUAUAUAUAUACACGGGAAGGCAACAUAUGGCGCUCCCUACCCCCACCUGUCAAAACUGUGACUAUAUCACUUCUGACGACCAGAAGGAAGCUGCUAGGCCGGGCCAGGAUUCUAAAGGCUGAGGAGGAAGAGAAAUCUGUUGGCGGCCACGAUUCUCCAAGAGGGGACUCAAAAGAUCACAGUCUCAUCUUAAACUUGCCCUUGAUAACGUCAGGCCUGGCCAAAUAGUAUUUCUUUAGAAAACAUUUUUUGUUUUUGUGGUUGGUUUUUUUGUUUGUUUGUUUGUUUCGUUUUUAUUGGAUAAAGAUUAAGAAAGCGCCAUCUCGGAGAGAAGAACUGAAGCAAAC